CGACCCGGCCGAGGACGCCCGUAACAGCUCUGCGCAUGCGCGGCUGUGGAGCGCACCUCCGCUAGGACGCGGCUCACGCGACCCCUGGCGGCGGCUGCCGAGGCGCUGCGGGACGACCUUGGGCGGCAGUUAAUAGCGAGUCCUGGCUGAUGUGACCCCGACUUAGCUUUUAGAGGUCCCAAGACUCGUUCACAGGCCGCUAAACGCAAACUAAGGCACCUCCCAGCACACCAGGAUGGACGUGCCCUCCUUCAGUCCGGACUUGGCAGAAUCUGCACCUAGGAGCCCCUCCCCAAACGACCUGCCAGCCCCAGUCCGGGAAGCAGGCACCCCCACUCCCCCUCUCAAAUGGGGGCUCCAUUCCUGUCUCUAGCUCUAGGGUUGUGGUGAGGAUAAAGGGAGCUGAGGGACAAGUGCUUAGAACAGUGUCUAGAAGGAAUUACUUCAAUGCUGUAAUCAUUACUAAUAAUUUAUUACUACAAUUCCAGAACCUGGCCCACAGUAGGCACUCAACAAAAGUGCAUUCCUCUGGCUUGAGAGGCUGUGGUGGGCCCUGCAGGGCAGCUGCCUGUCUCUGCCUGGUUAGGGGUCAGGGCACCGCAGGGAGGCCCGGCCAGGCCGGCCCCAACUUCCUUCCUGCUCUUUGCCUCACUCCGACCCGCUCCAGAGAGCCAUGCUCUGAGCCACACACGACUGUCCUCGGCAGAACAAUCUGUGCUCUGCUCCCGCCCCCGAGAGAGUUCUGAGCUUUCCAAAUAUGGAUGCUUUUUGCAUUCCCAAAGCAUCACGAACAUUUGGGAGAAGAAAAUGAACACCAGACAUGGUUUGAAAACGGUGGAAGCCAAGGGAUGGGUGGUGACGGAGCAAGCACCAUCUCAGGAGUUUUAAAAUAUCGAAUACGAGUCUGGCCUAGGUGAUGUCUUACAAGCUCACUAGCUUUCUAGCAGUCUAGGCCCCAAAGAGAUCCUGGAAGUAAGCAGCCAAACCAAACCCUAAGAAUAAAACUACAGCGGCCAGCAUGCAUUGCAGAGGAGAAACCUGCAUUCAGUAGGCCCAGAGAGCCACUGGCUGUCAGAGGAAAUGAGCAGUGGAAGGCAGUCCCUUGAGAGCCAAACAGCUUGAAAGUCCACAAACUGAGAUGAACCAGCCCGUCGCCUACACUCAAUACACAGCUGAAGAAUAAAUGCCGAUUUUUCAGUCAAAGGGAUGGCAUUCAGUGUUGGCUGGGAUGAGAGGAGGCUGUUUCCUCACCCUGCAGCAAGGCGCGCACACAGGUACAGCUGUUCUGCAAGGCAAUCUGGAAAGAGUUCUCUUUUGACCCAGAAACUCUACUUCUGGAAAGCUCUCCUAGGGAAAUCAUUAAGAACAGGCACAAAGACCAUGCUGACAGGGUACACAUCACAGCCUCGUGUAUAACAGUGGAAAACUGAAAACCACCUACACAUCCAAAACUAGAGGCUUUGGUUAAAUAGAUUAUACAUCAUCCAUAUCAUGAAAUGUCAUACAGCUGCUUAAAUGUUACAGAAAUGUAUCCACUGUCACGGAAAGUGUUUACAAUCUAUAGUGAAGUAGAAAAAGCAGGUCACAAAGCAGUAUAUGUGGUAUAAUCCCACUUUUACAAAAAAAAUUUCACACAUAUAGGAGGUGUAGAGAAGAUCUGGAAGGAAAUGAACUAUAGUGUUAACAGCAACUGCCUUGAGUAGAUGGAGUAAUGGAUAUCUUUAUGUUCUUUUGAUUAGCCUACAUUUCCAAAUUUUAUUCAAAACACAUGUAUUUUGUCUAUAUUCAGAACAAUAAGGCCGGGUGCAGUGGCUCACGUCUGUGAUCCCAGCACUUUAGGAGGCCAAGGCAGGAGGAUUGCUUGUGUUCAGGAGUUUGAGACCAGACUGGGCAACAUGGCAAAACCUCAUCUCUAGAAAAAAUACCAAAAAAUUAGCCAGGCAGGGUGGUGUACACCUAUAGUCCCAGCUGAGGUGGAAGCAUCGCUUCAGCCUGUGAGCCAGAGAUUCCAGUGAGCUGAGAUCACACCAGCCUGACAACAGAGAGAUGCCCUGUUUCAAAAAAGUAAAUCCAUAAUAAAUUGUUAUAAAAAACAAUAACAUAAAAUUGUGAGGGAUGGAACCAGGGACAGCUAGAAGCAUUGCUGGCUAGCUCAGCUAAGCAGUGUGGCAGGUAGGGCCUUCAGGAACAAGAAGGGCAAGGCCAUCACAGUCACCUGCUGCUCCCAGCCUCAGCUGUCCAUGAGAUCUGACUAUUCAAAUCCCCUUCCACUGACCUUGGAUUUAUAUAUUCAAAGCAUCUUCCCAUUUUGUCUUGUUUAGUCUUCUCAGUACUCUUGUGAGAAUAUUAUUAGCUCUGUUUUGUAGAUAAGAAAAGCCAGUCUUAAAUCACUCACAAAUCACAGAACACAAUCAAGGCUGAGCAGAUUAUCUCACACCAGAAUCGCAACAACUCUAUCCUCACUCACAAUGGGUGAUUACUCUCCCGCUAAGAGGCAGCUAGGUAAAGUGGAGAGUACAGAUGCUGGAGUCCACAGGCCUUGCUUUGAAUCCCAUCUCAACUCUGAAAAGCUUCCUCUUAACCCCUCUGCAGGGAAUGAUAAUCCUAAGGUCCGGGAUUGUUCUCAGGAUAAGCGCAAUCACGUAGGUAAAUCACUCUCCAUCAGCGCUCAGCAAAUGCUCAGGCACAGGAACCCCCACCUCGCAGGGCAGCUGAGCUCUCAGGCAGCUGUGAGGUUGGAAACAGGCCUUCGUAAAUGGAACUAACAUUGAACUUCACACAGUUUCCAAUGCCCAGCUCUACCCUGUCCCUGAGGCCAAAACAGACUAAGUCUUCCUUCCUCCAAGAGUCCUCCACACAGGCAAGGCCUGCUCCUCCAACCCUGGAGGCUGUUCUUCCCCAAAAAGCCCCGUUCCUCCGCUGCUGAUCGGUCUCACACGGUCUGGUCCCAAAAUCAUCUCCAGUCCGCAGCGACCCUCUCACAGAGCAGUCACCUGGCUCCGCCCCAAUUUUCUCUUCUCUUCUUCCCUGCAGGGGCUGCCUCAAAGAAGAAAAUAAAGAGCCCUGCGCCUAUUUGAUGAAAGGGCUUCUAUUCGGAGGAGCCACUGCUGUGGACAUCUGUCAUGGACACUGCCUGUCCUCUGAUCCCCCUAAUGGGACCAGCCCCUCUUCACCAUGGCUUUCGUUCGUGGCCUAAGCCAGUCACAGCUCAUGUCACUGGUAACUGGAUCAAGGAUGAGAAUGUGAUCCAGUAAGACACAACAAGAACCCGGGCGAGAUGUCUGAGGAUCACACCCAGGAGAAUGAGAGUCUGGAGCUGCUCCGCUCACCUGGGGCCUGAGAUGGGGGAGGGGAGGGGACCAUGAAACAGGGAGGAAGAAUCCAUGUCUUUGAGCCCCAAAUCCAGCUGCCACUGAAGUCAGUUGGGGUUGGGUUUUCUUUCACCUACAGCUAAAAAGGCCCUAAUGCACAGAUCCUGGCAGAAACCGGAAAGUGGGUCUGCAGCUGGCUUGGGCAGUCAGCACUGUAUACACUGUUUACCACUCUGCAUAUGCCUCAGGCAGGAGCUUAGGCCCUGCCCUCAGAAGGCUCUGUGGGAUGGAGUGUCCCCUCCACCCACUCUGUGAAGAAAGCACACCCGCUCACUCCAUCUGCCUGCCAAGCAUCUGACCGGGGCUGGGCAGAGGGGAUGACGUGGGUAGCUUCUCCAGCUGCCCCUGACUUCUGAGUACUUCGCAUCCUCCAGCAUCAGCAACAACUUUCCCUUCCCAAAACCAUGCUCCAGGCCUCUGAUCUUCAUUUGAUCUUCCCCUAAAGAUUCCCCCACCUUAAAUGUAUGGAUCCCAGGUCCCAUUCCCUGAUAGCCAAACCCUCUGCCUGACAAAGCAGACCCACAAAGGCACCGAUGUGUUCACAGAAGAAAGCAGCCUCUCCCUCCCCAUAACCAGAUGUUGCUACCUGGGCAACUGAAGGGGCCUAUCCAAUUGUGGUCAAACCCAAGGGAUACGUAAGAAUAAAAACAACCCAUUUGUUGAUCUGCCCAGGGUGCUAAGUGCUUUAUAUGUAUUCAUCCAUUCCCUGCAACAACCCUGUAAAAUAGAUAUUAUUAUUAUCUCCAUUUACAGAUGAGAAAACAGACCCAGUGGGGUGAAAAUAAUUUGCCCAAAACGUUUUAAAUAGUAAGUGACAAAGCCAGAGGUCAAACCUGGAGAGUCUGACCCUAGAGUCCCAUGCCCUUAGCCACUGUGUCAAAAGAGCAACUUCCACCCCAGGAGCAGGGAGGAACGGAGAAGGUAAAGGAACUCCGUAAAGCGCCCAACAUGGUGCCACCUCCCCCACCUGGGCACAGAGGUCACUCGGCUUGACAGAAAAGUUUCCUACCAAGAAACAUCUCCAUGUCUUGGUCCUGCCCUGGACUGUAUGACACAGGGCAAGUCCCUUCUCCCCUUCGGUACAGGCUCCCAUACUGGGAAAUAAAAUGUGUGCAUGGAGGAUGACUGUGCAGGCCCCAUUUACUCUCCAGUCCUCUGCUUCAGUGCCAUGCAAUCCAGAAAGGAAGUUAAUUCCCCUGCUGUCUCCAGGUCCCAGUUUUUAAAUUUUAAAUUUAAAAAUGUUCAGUUUUAAAAUUUUAUUUUAAUAAAAAGGGAACUGUUCACUCUGUCUCUUCUAUUAAUUAUGUCUCUGUUUAUAAAGCAAAGAUAGGUGCUUACUUUCGUCUAGGUACAUAGAAAAGAAAGCCGCAGAGAAUGCUGAGAAAGCAAGUAGCCCUGGUAUAGAAGGCAGUCAGGCAGGCAUGAGCAGGCAGGAGAGGGCUCCCCCGACACACACACACACACCAAGAACAUCAGGUGACCAUCAGGUGAUGGUCAGGCAGUUGUUAGCUAUUUCUCUAAAAUAAUAAUUGGUAGCAGCCCGCAUCAGGAAAAGGCAGUCUCCCGAUAGAUAGAAGAAACUUGAAACUGGUGAUCAGCAGCUUCCCAACAAGUUCUCAGGAAUUGGGGGAGUGCGCUCAAGCAUGCGCGCCAAGAGGCCAAAUUGCGGCAUGUAACGGGUAUAUGACCUUCCUCUAGGAAUGCGAGAUUGGCAAAGGAAGAACGACCUCAGUGAGCAUGCGUACAACUCCAGUUGUUUCUCACGAUUCUGUUUUAAUGUACUGUGCUAUGACAACAUCGAAUAUGAUUGACUCUGAAUGGGUGAGUCCCAGGAGGCUUCGGAGAAGCCAGCAAUAUAAGCUUGAAGGACAGAACUUGCAGGAGGAAACCCAGCAAGGGUGAGACAUUAAGGUAGAGGAACCAAAGGCAGGAGUACAAAUCUAGGGCAUUCUCGAGUGACCUGAAUGUUUUCUCCCCAAAGAAACCUUACCUGGCCCAAGCAAGUUCCAAUCCAUGUGCCAAUAGAGAAGAGCAUUUAGGAACAUGGCAUCAGACUGACCCUUCACCAGUCAGACUGAGACUCCCUUCUGCCACUCAGAGAAGAACAAGGGCCCUGGAGCCAGUCUCUGAGGUCAAGUCCUGGCUCGACCACUUCCUAGCUGUAGGACCCUGGGUAGGUUUACCUAACCUCCCUGGGCCCCAGGUUUCUCUUUCGUAAAAUGGAAAGAAUAAUGGUGUUUACCUCAUAAUAAAGACUGAAUGAAGGCCAAGUGCAGUGGCUCACGGCUGUAAUCCCAAAACUUUGGGAGGCCAAAGUGGGCAGAUCACCUAAGAUAAGGAGUUCAAGACCAGCCUGGCCAACAUGGUGAAACCCUAUCUCUACUGAGAAGAUACAAAAAUUAGCCAGGUGUGAUGGUACACACCUGUAUGCCAGCUACUUGGGAGGCUGAGACAGGAGAAUCGCUUGAACCCAGGAGGCAAAGGUUGCACUGAGCCGAGAUUGCAUCAUUGCACUCCAGCCUGGGCGACAGAGUGACACUCCAUCUUAAAAAAAAAAAAAAAGAAGAGAAAACCAGUGAAUGAGAUACUGGGAAAAAGGGCAUCACAGCUGGUGCACAGGAAUCUCUCAAUACACCAGGGCCACUGCUGCGCUUCCGCAUAACCUCACCUCAUCUCAUUUCUCUCCUCUGUAAAUUCAGGGUUUGGAGAGUUAGAGACAGGAUAUCCCCUAACAUGGUGCUGGCCCGCAGGACGUUCUGGGAGCUGAAUGGGGCAAGCUUCCAGUUCCCAAUCAGCAAAGGCUAGCAUUGCCUGGCAGAAGGAGGGACUCUAUCUGAAAGCCCUGAUCAACUCAGACCUCAGGUCACCAGGGAAAAGUUGAGGUGACAAAGAAAGUGUGCAGGUCAAUCCCACUGCCUAGAGCAGUGUGCAGAGAGCAUGGGGAGGGACGAACAUUCAGAGACACCCCUGGCAGCAGCCUCCCCUUACAAAUCCUCAGGGACCUUGGUGAAGAAAGAAAAGCCAAGAAUAUUCCUACACAGAGCUAGGACCAAGGACCUCUUGAACUCCUCAGAGAACGGGCCUGUCUCUGGGCAUCUCCAUGAAUCUGGCCAGCAACUGCCCUGUUAGUACAAGUCACUUCUAGUCCCCCACGCCCUACCCAACACUCAGCUCUUCAGCUGACAUUGGCAUCGACUAUGUGCCGUCACUGUGUACUAGAUAGUAGCAUUUUGUGUACUAUCUCAUGUGUCCUCAUGACCAGCCAAUGAGAGCUUGAUGGGUGGGGAAACGGGGGCAGAGACAGGCUAAGGAACCUGGGGCACAAGGUCCCAGAGCCAGUAUAUGACAGACAAAGAGUAGGACCCAGGGAGAUGGUCGGGGCCGGUGCCCAUAACCAUCCCUCUACACUGCCUCUCACCUGGCCCACCAGGCUCUCUGGGGCCUGGAGCCCCCAGAAUGCUGGCCACUUCCUCUAGACAGAAGUGACCCUUCCCUCUUCCGGUACACAUGUGACUCUACCCGUACUCAUGGAAGUCAGAAACUAGCCAGAGCCAGGUCUCCCAUGAGCCAGCAGGUGUCCCAAGAGCCAAUGCCACAACCUCACGGGUAGGGGGCCCACUGCUGACCACAUAUCACCCAGAGCCAGGCUCAGGGACCAAGUUGCCUGUCCUCCUUGCCCACCUUUCAUGGCAGCCACAAGACUGAGCUGGCAGUGCCAGCUGUAGACAACCUGUCUCCAUUUAACUAUCUCAGAACCAAUCCUAGGACGUGGGCUUUGGGCAAGCCCUAAAGCUACCUCCCACUACCACCUAGCAAGCCAACUCCUGGUACAACCCCACCAGGCCCCAGGGCAAUUGGGCAGUAGAAAUUGCCAGAUGAUGCUUUGCUCUCCUUCCAGAAUACUGUUGCUGGUCACACACAGACAGCUCCUGAGGCACGUGAGGUCGCUGGUCCCUAAGCACCAGGGAGAGAAGAGCGUGGCCGUGUGGCACAGACCCCAGUACUUCCGAUAGUUCAGAGAGAUGCAAACAAAAGCCAAAUGCUGCCAGAACCCCAGAGGCAGCCUCAAAGGAGCAUGCCCAAUAAACUGCCAGAGUGUCCUGUCAAAAGCAACUGCAUCUUUUCCUAGCCCACGGAGACGUUUAGAAGAUUAAUGAGAUGAGCCUGGCAGUACUCAAGGGUCCCCAGGGAACUGGGUGAAUAUAUCAUCCCUAUCACAGAGCUCUUAAGAAGUGUGCCGUGGGCUGGGUCUUUGUUCAGCGCUGCAUAGGACAACUGAGUCAGACAGGCUGAACCACCUGUAGCCCCCACAUCUCAGCCAGAAAGUGCAGCCAGCAUACAAUGGCCAGCUCACGACUGUUCUGCAAGGGCACGCCACCUAGGGCCCUGGCCUCUGCCAGCCACAGUCACGGGACAUGGUUUGAAGAGCAGACAGCUGAAGGACAGGAGCCACUCCAGAUAAUCUUGCUAUAGCCUUAAGAAGUCCCAUUCAAAGUGUCCCUUUUCCUCUAGGAAGCCUUCCUGGCCCUGAGGCCUGUAGUGACCUCUCCCUAUUACCCAUCCCUAGCUUUUGCCAUUUGCUGCACUGUUUGGGGUUGAGAUUUUAAAAUUUCUAUGUAGCACUUAGAAUGUGCCAGGAACUACAUUAUUAAAUGCUUUAUGUACAUUAUUUGACUUAAUCCUGCUAAGAGCCCCAUGAAGUGGGUGUGAUUAUGCCCAUGACAGACUGAGGAAGCGGCGGCUGGGAAUGAUCCAAUCGUCCAUGUGUCCUGGGCUUCCAGACGUUUUCUUCCCAUGAGAUUGCAUUCUCUCGCACUAGAGUGCAAACUGCUUCAGAGCAGUGAGAUAUUUACACGUUCUUCUAGUCCCUGAAUAGGUGCAAAGUUAUCCAAGAGAAGACUGAUUGCUAGUGAUUGCUGCAUGUCAACCCAUUAGCCUUCAUUAACCCAGAGGCGGCAUUAAUGAAUAAAAACACCAUCGGCCAUGUGGCUAACUGACCACAUGAUUCAAAUCCCUGUAGAUGCUGUGCAGAAUUUGAAUUACCAAGAAAGGUCCCUGCUGAAGUUGCAUUAUUACUUAUCAAGAAACUUUGCUGAAAUGUUUUUCCUUCAUCCCCUUCAGUGACAACUGAUGGCCACUGGCUCAGAGGAACAAAGCCCUGCUGGGCUUAACAUGACCCAGGACAUGCGGGGGGCAGCCCCAGCAGCUUUGCUGGGAACUGUCAAGUUCGUCACCAGCCAAGGGCCAGGGGUCAAACAGGUAGCUCCCAGGAGGCACUGCUGGCUCCAGGGCACAGGACACUCGGGGGAGAAGGCAGGGGCCUCACCUUUGGUAGCAUAGGCUUCUGCAAUCACCCGCAGCCUGUAGGGGGGGGCAGCUGUCAGCGGCAGGUCGUCCAGGCCCACCCGGGCAUAAAUGUUCAGAGCUUCUUUAUAAUCACCUUCCACAUAAUUCAACUUGGCCAUGAUCAGAUUGGAUUCUUGUAGGAAUUCUGACUAGAAGGAAAAGGAGAGAAAGAAAAGCAUUUUCCUACAACAUUAGGCAUGACGCCUCAGAGCCCGGCCAGCUGCUGCCCUGAAACCUCACAGCUCCCACACAACAGCUUAGACAUGAAUGUUCUGACCAGUAUUAUCCACAAUAGCCAAACAGUGGAAACAACCCAAAUGUCCAUCAAAAUGUGGGCUGGCCAUAAAAUGGAAAAUGACUCAGUUGUAGUAAAGAAUGACGUACUGUUACGUGUUACCACAUAGAUGAACCCCAGAAACAUGAUGCCAAGUGAAAAAGCCAGUUACGAGAGGCCACAUAUUGUAUGCUUCCCUGUGUAUGAAAUGUCCAGGAUAGUCAAGUCUAGAGUUAGAAAACAACAGAUUAGUCUUGGCUAGGAAUGGGAGGUGGUGCUGCUACUGGUUACGGGGUUUCUUUGGGAGGUGAUAAAAAUGUUCUGGAAUUGACUGUGGUGAUGGUUGCAUACAUCAUGGAUAUACUAAAAAUCACUGAACUGGACACUCUGAAUGGGUGAAUUGCAUGGCAUGUGAAUUACAUUUCGAUAAAGCUGUUGCAAAAACUUAAUCAAAAUAAAAACCCUGCGGCUCCCCUCAGGCCGGCUCCCAAUGGCUGGGCCAGCUGGGAUGCUUCAUAAGUUCAACAUACAAGCACCUGACUCCGAAAAGGAAGCUGCCCAGACAUCCUGGUGGGUCCUGCCAUGACACCAGAGAUGCACCACAACCCUGUAACCCAAAUCAUCAAGGAGAGCCUUCCCAAAUGGAUGCGAGGAUCAGGACUUGCUUUCCAGGACAAAGUUUCUCACUGAACCACUGAAGUUUGUAAACUGAGGUGACCUGGUCCCCUCCCCAGAGGCUGAGGGCUAGAAGUUCUCUGUGGGUCCCCUUUCCUCGCAGUCAUCGAGGUGACCUGCCCAGACCCAUUCCCCAAAGCCUCAUCAAUGCCCUCCUCCCUGAUCCGUCCCCCAGCACCUAGGGAGAGAACAGGCCACCCUGCCACCUAUAUUAGGAAACAGAUUUAUCUUCCUUGGCCAGGCCUUCUCUUCAGAGCCCAAGCUGUUCAAAGCUGAGUUUUUUUGCUUCCAGAAGCACACCAUGAAACUGCACUAUUUAUACUGUAACCUAGAGCUUUGAUGCGUGGACAGCAUGGCGCAGGCAGCCAGGUACGCGUGUUACAACAGCUGUCUCAGCCAAGGUCAUCGGCUUCCAGGCAUUUCUUGGAAGAGAGCAGGGGCAUUGGGCAGCACUGGAGAGGAUGGCAGAGUGGACAAGGAGGGCUGAUGGGGGCAAAAGCAUUUAUGGGUGGCCCAAGGGAGAUGUGCCAGAGGAAUUUGAAUUAUGUCUGGAGACAGAGAAAUCAAUGCAGACUUAGAAAAGCAAAAAAAAAAAAAGCAUCCAGGCCAGGUGCAGUGGCUCACACCUGUAAUCCCAGCACUUUGGGGGGCUGAGGCAGGCAGAUCACUUGACACCAGAAGUUCGUGACCAGCGUGGCAACAUGGCAAACCCCAUCUCUACUAAAAAUACAAAAAUUAGCGGGGCAUAAUGGCAGGCAUCUGUAACCCCAGCUACUCAGGAGGCUGAGGCACAAGAAUUGCUGGAACCCAGGAGGUGGAGAUUGCAGUGGCUGAGAUCAUGCCACUGCACUCCAGCCUAGGCAACAGAGCAAGAUUCUAUCUCAAAAAAAUAAAUAAAUAAAAGCAUUUACCAUAGGGAUUCUCCACCCAGGUUAGGGGCAGGCCAGGCUUAGGUAUUUUGAAAACAUUUCCUAGGACAUUCUGAGAAGUCAUCCCUCCCUCCCCAAGCUUCUAGCAUCUGAGAACCAUUGGAUUAAGGCAAAUUGAAGGAGGAGGGGGAGUGAGGAGUUAGCAUUAAUGGACACAUCACAAGAGGUUCCGUUUGGGAAGAUGCAAAGAGUCCUGGAGAUGGAGGGUGCUGACAGCUGAGCGACAAUGAUAAUGUACUUAAUGCCACUAUACUGUACACUUACAAAGAGCUAUGAUGUUAGCUUGUAUGUUAUGUAUAUUUUACCAAAGGGGGAAAAAACGGUUAAUAAAAGCAAACUGAAGAGGUAGGUGGAGAAAGAGCUUGAAGAAAAUUGCAAGCCUAGAGGCACAGUUUGGACACACUGGGAAAGCCUCGCUGGACGAGUCUGGUCUGCAUGGAAGCACAGGACACAGGUUGGCCAGGGCGCCUCGGCUGUUCAGGCAUGGGACAAGAGCCCAACACGGUGCUGGGGGCCACCUUGCUCACAAUGAGGACCAUUUCCUUUCCCUGAAUCAGAAACCAGAUGUCCUGACUCCUAGUCCAGGACUCUUUCCAUCUCUCUACCUGGCUGGCUGGCUCUGGUCUUCCCAGCCUCAGUUCACUCAAGACAAGCUGGACUUAAGCUCAAGGAAGAAGAAAGUUUCACAUUAGCCGAAGUGAGCGGGACAGCACACCCAUGCAAAAGAUGUGCGGCUUUGGAACAUUCUUUAUAAGAUGGAGGAAGCUGAAAACAGCAAUGGGAGAAAAACUCUCCAGGUAGAACCAAUAACACAGCAAGAAAUGAUGUGUAUCCAGUGCUGUACAGCUGUAAAAGAAUUUCUCCAUCUGAGCCUCAAAACAAUCCUGGGCUAAGUAGGCCUGUAGCUGAGAAACAUGGUGCUCAGAGAGGUUAAGUAAUUUCUCAAGAUCACACAGCUUAUAAAUCCAGAAGUGGACUCAAACCGAAGCAUUUUAAUUUGAAUUAAAUUCAAUGGCUGGGUGCGGUGGCUCACACCUGUAAUCCCAGCACUUUGGGAGUCCAAGGCAGGUGGAUCACCUGAGGUCAGGAUUUAGAGACCAGCCUGGCCAACAUGGUGAAACCCCAUCUCUACUAAAAAUACAAACAUUAGCUAGGUGUGGUGGCACAUGCCUGUAGCCACAGCUCCUCAGGAGGCUGAGGCAGGAGAAUCGCUAGAACCUGGGAGGGGGUGGUUGCAGUGAGCUGAGAUGGCGCUCUGGCACUCCAGCCUGGGCAACAGAGCAACACUCUGUCUCAAAAUAAAUAAAUAAAUAAUAAAAUAAAUUCAUGUGCUUACUACACGCUACAUUGUAGAGGAUAGAAAGCAAAACCUGUCAGCACCUGGUGAAAUGAAAGGGGAAUUUUUCAAGACGAAGUUGUGGAGGGUAGACAGGGGAAAGAAAUGAGCCAGAUAUCUGCUCUCACACCUCCUGGCAGACACACACUUGAGCCUGGCUAGCCAUCACUGUGAGCUGUGGCCCACUUGCCUGCUGUCCCUCCACUCCCUCCUGCUAAUCAAGACCUACCCCUGUGUCCACCUGUGUCAUCAUCUCAUCACCAUGUUAUAUGUUAAGAACAUAUGACAUGGAUACAGGGUUUUACCAUGUUGGCCAGGCUGGUAUUAAACUCCUGGCCUCGAGUGAUGUGCCACACACCAAAGUGUGGCAUGGCCCUUACAGAGAAACUGACCAGGGAAAGUGACCUGGUUUUUGAAGCCCAAAUGCUACAGGAAGUCCUUAGGCACCUGGGCUCCCUAUGAGGGGCUUUAUGUUUUUGUGUUUUUGACCUCACCGGCCACCCACUAGGGGCCUGGGGCGGGGUCCCUAUAUAGAGGUGACACUCUCCAGCCACCUUCUAGGGGCCUGGAGCUGUGUCCCAUGCAGACAACAUACAUAGAGACCAUUUUGAAAGCAGCUCUCUAUCAGGGUUUCCAGAAGUCUGGGGCUACACCACUGACCAAGACCUAACUGACUUAAAGGUUGCCCAAGCCCUCCGUUGCAACAGGGCCAAGGAGGCGCCAGACGACCAAGAAGAGGAACAGUUCAAAAUGAAAGCUCACAGGCUUAGAGCAUGCAGGAGCCUGGAAGGUCCGAGCUCACCCCUCUAUGAGCCCACCCCAUUCGAACCUACAGAAACUUCAGAGAGGCGAAUAACCUCCCCAGGGUCACUCAGGAAGUCAGGAGCAGUACAGAUAUGAAAGGUAAACCCAAGGAAAACAUGGCUUCUCAGGGGGAAGCGUGCACACACAGACAAGAAUAAAGACCAAAAACAGAGCCCCAGAGGAUUCUGAGACAGGAAGAGAAGAAAAAUGAAAAAGACAUCAUCAAAAUUAAAAGGAAACAAAAGUCAGAGCUCCAGAAGUUCACCAAAGACUGUCCUCAGUGGGAAAUACAUCCUGGGGAAAUAAGAAGGGGGGUCCUGGGGAAGACAAGCAGGAUGGAGGAGGCUGCAUAUAGCCAUCUGAACUAGGGGAAGCAUCUGGAGCCAGGGGACCCAGGGGGCCACCCGGGGGGCAGAAGGGCAGGGUGGGAAGAGAUGACCCCCAUGAAAAGCAGAAGGAACUGAAUGGAGAAUCCCAAGAAGAAAAGAAGGAAAGCCACAUGAGAGGGAAAGGAAACCUGGGUAUAAGGAGACCAGAAAACAGAGUGGACAGAUAGGGGGCAGCGCCUAAGAUUCGCUGUGCCAGAGGGUGAGGGUCCUUGCUCAGGUGCAGGGAAGUUCUUGGCCCCCUCCUAACUGUGACAUCAGGCCUGCUGGCACCAGUUUGGAACCCCCCAUAGCUCUGGGCCACAGUGGCCUGUUUUAUUCAUGAGCAGGAAACUGUGUGUCGAGCACCCCUUCCUGUCUUUUCUAGAACUGGUUCACAUGUCAGGUUAAGGUCUGGGUUAUAUCGGAGAGCUUCAAUUCAAGCAUCUGAGAGAUAAGUGGCAUUGUACAGGAUGGCGUGUCAUUGAAGACUCUCAUCAGAGAGACCCUAUUGGGCCAGAAGGCCCCACAGUGGUCAGCCAGCCUAGAGAUUGAUGCAUCCACCCAACAGGGAGCUGGCCCGCUUCUAAGAAGACAAGCCAUGCCAGUGUGCAGGUGAGCCUCAAAUGUCAUCCGGCUUGACCCUGAGCACCCUUCUAAACCACACACUGUCCAGAGGCCCACCGUACCUUAAGGUUCCCUCGGUCCAGGGCGGCGGUCAGAUGCUUGCGGACCUCAGUCAGCUGGGGCUUGGGGCCCCGGGGACUGGCCCCCUGCCUCAGUGGGUGUUCCUUCAGGUACUGCUCCAGCUUUGACUCCCCGAGAAGAAGUUCUGCCAUGUCAUCUAUAAAAACAAAAUGAGAAGCCAGAUGGGAGGAAGGAAUGGCCUGCAAGUGGAACCCCCACCAUGGGACCCCAGAACCACCAGACCCUGAGGCUCCAGGCCCCCAGCAAGGUCCUUCUGGAACGUCAUAGCCUUCACAGGGUCACAGGGUCUAGGUGGGGACCACUUCAUAGUGAAUUUAGUUCACUAAAAAAAGUCCCGGUAGCAUGUACUCACACAGGUAUUGGCUCAAGCACUCAGUCAUUUCUUUGCCAGUAGAUACAUAUUAACAUGGAGAGAGUUCAAGUUCAGUCAGAAAAAAACAAAGGCGUCUUAUGAUGUAUUCGGUAUAAUCUUUAUAAAACACAUACAAGGUCGGGCAUGGUGGCUUAUGCCUGUAAUCUCAGCACUUUGGGAGGCUGAGGCAGGUGGAUCACGAGGUCAGGAAUUCAAGACCAGCCUGGCCAACGUGAUGAAAUGCCACCUCUACUAAAAAUACAAAAAUUAGCUAGGUGUGGGUGGUACAUAUCUCUAGUCCCAGCUAUUUGGGAGGCUGAGGCGGGAGAAUCGCUUGAACCCGGGUUGCAGUGACUUGAGAAGGUGCUAUUGCACUCCAGCCUGGGUGACAGAGUGAGACUCCAUCUCAAAAUACACAGAUGCACGCACACACACACACACACACACACACACACACACACCAGUGUUAUGUAUUUUCAAGAGUGGCGCAAUGAAAUCCCCAAGCUCUUCUGUUGUCUCCUGUGGAGCUGGUAGAAUGUCUAUACAGCCAGAUCAUAAAAUGAGUCUGUCAAAAUGACCUGAAAUGCAAGUCUGUAUUUCUGCAGAACAAGACUGUUAGUCUGUUUCUGUCUAAAAGUCAAAACUAUACACAUAUCUGGGAAUGCCUGCAUGAAGCUUCUACUCCGGAGACCACACUGCUCAUGGUUAUAACUUGCUGAUGUCUGUAUUGGCUUAAUUCAAAUGAAAAGCUAACUCCAGGAGCAGCUCUUUGGAAUCCACACCCACCCCCCAGACUGUUCUGAAUAAACCCAGAAUAACUCAGACCGGCCUAAGCAUGGUCUAUUUUUCUGGGAUGGGACAGAACAUAAUUAUAUUGAAAUAUAAAAUCAGUUUUCAAAGGUCUGGAAGGACGUAUCUUGAGCCCAUGAUAGUAGUUACAGCUGGGGUGCUGGGGAGGGACCUCCACGGGGUUGGUGGCAAAAAAUUGACUUUAGCUUUGUCUUUAACAUCCUGGUCCUAAAAACAAGAAUAGAUUUGCUUAUUAUAUAUGCAAUCUAAAAUUAAUUCAAAAAGUCAUCACCGAGGACCCCCUACGAUUCUGGGUGGUCAGCCCACCAAAGGCCAAGAGCUAAAACAAAAGCCUUUUGUACAUGCUCUCAGCAGUCAGCCCAGAACUGCUGAAUCUAUAGGUAUUAGCAGUGCUCUAUGUACUGGGAACCCUAAAAUAACCUUUUAGAGAUGAGACCUAGAGUCCUAGGAGGAGCCAAGUAACACUUAAACAGGGCUGAGUUCAGUUACUGAACUCAAGAAUUCAUUAGACAUUCAAGGACAGAAAGGAAAUCUGGCAGAGUGUGGUGGCUCACAUCUGUAAUCCCAACACUUUGGGAGGCUGAAGCGGGUGGAUCACCUGGGGUCAUGAGUUUGAGACCAGCCUAGCCAAUAUGGUGAAACCCUGUCUCUACUAAAAAUACCAAAAAAAUAGCCAGGCAUGGUGGUAUAUGACUGUAAUCCCAGCUACUGGGGAGGCUGAGGCAACAGAAUCACUUAAACCUGGGAGUGGAGGUUGCAGUGAGCCAAGAUCACAUCACUGCACUCCAGCCUGGGCGACAGAGCAAGACUCUGACUUAAUAAAAAAAAGGAAAUCAGGCAGGGCCACAGCAGCAUUCAACACCGAAGACAGUGAAGCAGCGCCUACAGGGUACACCGGGGUACAAAGUGCGACCCCAAUGCGUGGGGCCAGUCCAGACACCAGCCCGACACAAAGGCCACAAGCAGCCUCCUCCUAGACACAUGGGUCCUUCUCAAGAAAUGAAACCCAGCUCAUAACGACACCCAGGACUCAGGAACAAAGGACACGUAGGCAAAUGCCUGAGUGUUCAGAAUGCUAAAUGCCCUCAAGAGUCAGAGCCUCAGAACAGAAUAUGAAGUGUCAGAAACCAAUGCAUUGCAAAAACAAUCAUAUCAGAAAUUGGGAGGAGCUUCAGAGUGCCAUGUCUUUAUCUUUCAAAACACUGUACCAUGUGCU